rnacentral:lncRNA from 1 species
AACAAGACACUUGUUGUAAAACUCUUUUCUUUAUUUUUUAGAAAAGGAGGUUAAGAUCUCCGGCCUCUCCAUCAAUCGAUGAAUACAAUCAUCUUUAUUAUUUAUUCAACAAAUGUCUGACAAGAACAUACAUCAAGCCAUCCGAAGCCCCCACUCACACCUACAAAACGCGAUAAUGUGGAGUGCUCUAACUCCUCAUAUCUAAAACCGGUGUCGUCGCUGAUCCAUCGAAACUAACAACCGGUGCAGCAGACCUAAAACGUACACCACAUGCACACGUUCUAGAAGCCGUCAUCAGCAUCGAACCGCUAACCCAUCUUCAGGAGAGAAAUCCGCAUCAUCCAUGCCAGUCCGUCCAAGAGAGAAAUUCGCAUCAUCCAUGCCAGUCCG